rnacentral:rRNA from 1 species
UACGGAGGGUGCAAACGUUGCUCGGAAUCAUUGGGCGUAAAGCGCACGUAGGCGGCCCGUUAUGUCGGAUGUGAAAGCCCAGGGCUCAACCCUGGAAGUGCAUUCGAAACUGGCGGGCUUGAGUAUGGAAGAGGGUCGCGGAAUUCCCGGUGUAGAGGUGAAAUUCGUAGAUAUCGGGAGGAACACCAGUGGCGAAGGCGGCGACCUGGGCCAAUACUGACGCUGAGGUGCGAAAGCGUGGGGAGCAAACAGG